CUUAACAUAGGCAUUUAGAAGGGUGAACUUUUCUUGAAGUACAACGUUUGUAUUUUUUUUACCUAAGUUCUUUUGUUGGUACAUUUUAGGUAUACAAUUCGUUUACAUUUAUCAUUGGGUGUUUGUACCUGUACAUGAUGCAUCUUGGUUAUUUUUUUCCCAUUACCUGUGCACCCUUCACCUCCACCCUUCCCUAUUUACACAGACAUCAAAGGAGAGGUGGGAAAGGAAAAACUAUGAGAAAAGAAAAGAAAAAAUGUAUUUGUAUUUUUUAAGAUAACAUCUAUAUUUUGGUAUUUUAAAAUAAGUCCACAUCAUAAAUAUAAUGUAGUAAUUAAGGAAAGCUUUAAAAGGAAUGUCAGGCAAGAGGAAGAAAAUAAAAUUCACCAUAAUCCUCUUUCCCAGAAAUGAGCUGCUAUUACCAUAUUUGUUUGCCUUCCUGCAUUUCCUUACUUCUAUGCAUUAUUUUUUAAAUGAUGUAAUAUCCGUGCCUAGUUUUAGUAAUUCACACUCAUUUAAAAACUAUACCUUCUUUUUUCCUUCAGUCUUGUCCCACCUGGCGGAUCUAUGCUGAAGGUGGGAGGCAGGAGCAGUGCCAGCUGGGCCUUCCUGCUGCAGGCUAAACAGAAUCAGGACUGGGGAUGCCUAGGAGUUCCUAGGGCCAAGGAGGGGCCUUCCAAUCCGCUGCCUCCUCUGAGCCCCAAACUCACAGCCUGGCUGGGUUGGCCUCUGAGGUUAUGAUAUCAAGGGGCCUGGGGUACCCCAGGGGAGGGUACUCCCGGGACCAACUGGGUCCUUAGGAAGGGCUGGCAGCCAGAGGAGCGCAGAAUUGUGCUGAUCACUGUCCUCCCUGGGUAGGGACAGGAGACCCUGAGGCACAGGCCCAGUAGGUGGGAGGACUCAGCCCUCAAGACCAUCCAAGUUCAAGAAGUGACAUGGCUGUGGGGGGGAGUGCAAGGAGCCAAGGUGCUGCUGAAUCCUGCCCCCGACACCAGGGGACCACGAACUCUUGAAAUUAUCUGAUCCACUGGGAAUAGAGAUUUUCCUAGGAAGCAGGAUUGCUGGAGUUACAACAUCCAGCACUCCUACCCCCUGCCCACAACCAAUCAGAGGGAACCCAGCAGGUGUGAAGGUGCCACCUCUCUGCUUGGGGGCCCCUCAGCAGCUGUCCAGCUGCUCCCAACUUCUGAAUGAUUCCUGCACCCCAGUACCACCACCGCCUGGAACAACUCUCUAAACAUUAGUUUUGGGGGACAUUUCACGUCUCAGCCAUAACCCAUGUAUCAUUUAGGAAGCAAAUUGAGGAAGGCACGUCCCGUUUCCUGUUUGGACUGGUCCCCUGGCCUUGAGACCAGCGAUGCCACCUCAUGGUGCUUAAGGCCCACUCAGGCAUUGACUUACCAGUAGAUGAGGGGUGCAGAGAGGCAGAAGAAGGGGGCUUCACCGUGGAGAAAGGGACCCCUGGGAACAUGAGAUCUUCCCAUUCGUCAGGGGAGGGGAGUUAUUUUGGGAACAAAUUUCCAGAUUGCCAGAAUCCAUGGACCCCCAUGAAAACUGCUGCUCUUUUAUAGUCACCCCUCUGGCCCUCACACAAGGGGUGCAUCCAACUGUCCCUUUCAAGAUGGAGCAUGAGGGGUGAUGAUGCCCUGGACACAUGACUGGGGUUGGGGUGCAAAUAGGAGUGGCGGGAAGGUUGUGUAUGCGAUGUGCUUGCUUAUGUGCCAACUUUCUUUCAGCACCAAGUGUGACAGAAAUGGGAAGAAGAUGGGUCAUUCCUCUGGGAAAGCCAGAAGAGAUUCAGCUGCUCCAUUCAACCAUCUCUUACUCAGUGGAGGCGCUAAUCAGGCAGAGGAAGCCCAGGCCCUGGUGCCUGGGAACAACCUCUGCAGGCAGGAGUAGAAGGUGUGGCUCUGCAUCAAACUCAUUGACUCACUGCAGGCCCUGGGUGUGGAGCAGGACCUGGUCCUGCCCACCAUUGUGGUCGUUGGAGACCAGAGCUCGGGCAAGAGCUCCAUGCUGGACACUCUGUCAGGAGUCGCCCUCCCCAGGGGCAGUGGUAUUGUCACCAGGUGCCCUCGGGUGUUGAAACUGAAGAAGCUGAACCAAGAUGAUAAGUAGAGAGGCAAGGUCAGCUACAUGGGCAUUGAGGAGGACAUCUCAGAUGAUUUCAAGGUAGAAGAGGAAAUGAAGAGGUAAGUGCCCUUAUCAUCUGCAGGAUGCCUGGUCUAGCCGUGCAGUGGGGGCUUGUGUAGGUUCCCAGUAUCCCAAUCUGGACCCAUCCUGUGCCCUCAGAAUCUCUCCACAUGGGCAUUCAAUGGUCUUGCUCCUCCCCUCUUUCCCCUCUCAAAGACCAGGCAUGGGCACAGAAUCUGGCAGCAGGAAGUGGCUGUGUCACAUGUGAAAAAAUGCCUCAGAAUGAUGUGAAUUUUAAAAUUUAAAACUUGCCUCCAAACACAAGACUCUGCUAUCCUCAUUCAAGAGCCUGUUGACUCAUAGGUCACAGAUCAGAAGCAAGAGGAUCUGGGUGUGGGCAAAGGACUACUUCCCAUGCUGCCUCAUCCAAGGGUCUCCCCAGGGGCUGUGUCCCCAUGAUCUCCACUGGGAUCUGUGGGCCUUGUCCCCGAGAGAGUGUGUACACAUUUGUAGUUCCACUUCCCUGGCUGGAGACAGGUUCUCCUGAAUCCAAGCAGAGUAGUGUGAAACAUAUGUGGGAGCAGACAAGCCCUACACUUACGUAUGAGGACAUUGUGCUGACAGAGUGGCCACUGCAGGUGAAUCAAGACUUCCCUGUUAAGUUUCUGUCUUCCUCCUCUGUCACAUGGCUAUGUUUCAGUUGUCUUGAGACAGAGAAUGAGGCUCACACUGAUCCCCAAAAUGAACAAGGUGGCCUUUGUUUCUGCAAGGUGGUAUCACUGUUUAGUCCUUGUCCAUAAGGUUAAAUAAAGUUAAAUAAUGUUACAAAAUUUUCUUUGGUCCCAGUUGAAAUUAGUUUGUCUGCCUCUAGCAGAAAACUCAAAAUAACUGUGUAGUGGUCAGCUCCAGACAAGUAACAUGUUGACCCCAAGGCCUCAUGGCUUAAAGGUGCAUUUCUCAUGAUUCCAUUAAUCCAUGACUAAUGUGCAUCCUUUGGGUGGGCUGGGCUAGGUGGCCAUCCAGGAAGAUCUUGUUAAUAUACCUUCCCCUUGGCUGGCCUGACUGCCAUGCUCCAGGAAGCUUCAGGGUUUGUUGGGGAAAAGGGUUGGGGUCCUCCAAGCAGGAAGAGAAGGCAACCCCAAAGGACAGCUCCUUCAGGCUUCCCAGAGUCACAUUCAGGAACAUACCAUUGGACUCUGACCACACCUUGAAUGGAGGAAAUAAGCUAUCUGUAGAUAGGACAAGGGCCAGGUAGGUCAGGCAUGAAGCAGGGUGUAUGCAGGAAUGAUGGGAGUCCUAGAGGGUGGGCAGCAUGUGGCAGACACACAAACAUCUGCAGGUCACAGCACAGCUGGAGUGAGGGCUCCAAUGUCACAAACUCUGUUUCCUGUUCCUGUCUGAGGUGAGGGUGACUUCUGUCUCCCAGGCCCUCAUGAUGGAGCUAGCAAGGCUGCAUUCUAGCCAACUUCUGGACAUUGCAUGGGACAUUUUCACAGGUGCCAGGGGCCUGAGCUCAGUAUCACAGUCAUUACUUGUGGGCACAGGGCUUUGGGGGCAAUUAGCAGACUUUCCCACAUCUACCAUUGCUGCUAUUUUCCAUCUAUGUUCUAGGUUCCCACCAAACAUUUCAAACAAUGAGGCAGGAGACAUGAGCAAUGUUGUAUUAGCAAACACUCAGAUGAAGCAGCUUCACACCCUAUACAUCUCAUUCUAGAGGGGGUUGGUGGGAUGUGGACCUCUUACAAGUUUGCCCUCAUCCAGGGCUCCUCCUGCCUGAGCUGACCCCACCCUGGGUCAACCUGCAGCUCCAGUUUGGGGGAUCCCCUGUGCGCUCCCUCCUUCCUAUUUUCUCCCUGUGAAUGUCACCCCAGCAUGGAAGGGAGGACAUGGGAGCCCAUAGGGAGGCUGGGUUCUGCAGGGCACUGCUCCAGACUGGGGUCCUCAUGGACAGCUUCAGCAGGCCUCUCUAGAGGAGCUGGCCACAGCUUGGAAAGUGCUGAGUUGUCCUCUGAGGAGUCUUUGAACUCUGAUCUCAGAAGAUGGGCUCUGAAUCAACAGAGCUGCUGUUCAGGAGUCCUGGAGGGUAGAGGCUUUGCACCCUUCCCUAGAAUGUGACAUAACAUUCUAAUCCCUGGGGGCUUUUUCUUUUCCUCUUCUCCAACCCAGAACUUCAUCGCUGGGGAUGGGCUGAGAAUCAAGGACAAACUCAUUAGUCUGGAGAUCAGCUCCCCCAGCAUCCCAGAUCUGACUCUCAUUGACCUUCUUGGGAUCACUAGGGUGGCUGUGGGCAAUCAGCCCACUGACAUCAGUUGCCAGGUGAGACUUCAGGCCAGACAGGCGAUGUGGCCUGAGGGUCUCCAUGAGUGCAGGGUUGUGUUGGAGAGGGACAUGUGAAUUGUGGUGGCAUCGAAGAGCCCUGUGGUCAUCAGCUUCCAAGUUUGAUGGUGAAAGUGAGGCAAGCAGGUACAACUAGAAACAGAUUUCUGAUGUUCUGUUUUAUGAGAUGACUCAUACAAAUGUAUCUAUAAUGGUUGGUACAGUUCCCUUUUCUAGCAUCUCCACUUCAGUGUUUGGUGAGAAGGCUCUUAUCCUGGAAGAAAUCCUGAGGACAGGUGUGAAGGAAACUUGUGAUGACUGAAUCUCUCCUUGUGGAUACAGGUUCAGGGAGUGAGCCAGGCAGCACUUUUGGCAUCCUGCUGUCCACUGUGACCACCGGAUCUAAGGUUUCAGGGGAAAGUUAAGCAGCUCCAACUUCAUGGUCAUCCCUGACCCCUUAGCUCUAUGACUCCUGCAGAUGUUAGUUUGUCAUCCCUCUAGCUUGGCAGGUGCCACCAGGGUAGCCAUUGUGGGGCCCCUGGUCCACCUUUACUUCUCAGGGAUGGAUACCGCUAGCUUUUGAGGGCUGCCAAGUGCAAGGUCGGGAUGGUCUGUCCCCUCCCUCCCAUCUCAGGAGGCCAAUAGUGUCAUUUCUCACAAAUCAAGCGGCUCAUCAUGAAGUACAUUGAAAAGGCUGAGAACUUCAAUUUGGUGGUGGUCCCCAGUAAUAUAGACAUUGCCACCACGGAGGCGCUGAGCAUGAUGCAGGAGGUGGAUCCCGAAGGAGACAGGACCAUAGGAAACUUGACAAAGCCUGACCUGGUGGACAGAGGCACUGAAGACAAGGUUGUGGAUGUGGUGCAAAACCUAGUAUUGCCACCUGAAGGGCUACAUGAUCGUCAAGUGCCAUGGCCAGCAGGACACCCAGGAGUGGCUGAGCCUGGCCAAGGCCCUGCAGAGGAAAUGGGCCUUCUUUGAGAAGCACCCUCGCUUUAGGUGUGCUGUGCCACCUGUCUCAGGAAUAUGCCACUGAAGACACUGUCUC